rnacentral:rRNA from 1 species
GUAGGUACCGAGCGUUAUCCGGAUUUACUGGGCGUAAAGCGUGUUCAGGCGGCCUGGCAAGUCGGGCAUGAAAUCUCUCGGCUCAACCGGGAGAGGCUGUCCGAUACUGCUGGGCUUGAGGACGGUAGAGGGUGGUGGAAUUCCGCGUGUAGUGGUGAAAUGCGUAGAUAUGCGGAGGAACACCAGUGGCGAAGGCGGCCACCUGGACCGUCCCUGACGCUCAAACACGAAAGCUAGGGUAGCGAACGGGAUUAGAAACCCCGGUAGUCCUAGCCGUAAACGAUAUUGACUGGGUGUCAGAGGUGUAAAACCCUUUGGUGCCGGAGCAAACGCGUUAAGUCAACCGCCUGGGGACUACGGCCGCAAGGUUA